GACGAAGGAUGCAAGCGUUAUCCGGAUUCAUUGGGUUUAAAGGGUGCGUAGGCGGACUUGUAAGUCAGUGGUGAAAUCUCUUUGCUUAACAAAGAAACUGCCAUUGAUACUGCAGGUCUAGAGUAUAGAUGACGUUGGCGGAAUAUGACAUGUAGUGGUGAAAUACUUAGAUAUGUCAUAGAACACCGAUUGCGAAAGGCAGCCUAACGAAACUAUAACUGACCGCUGAGGCACCGA
rnacentral:rRNA from 1 species